GAUAGCUCAGUCGGCAAAAGCACGAGACUCUUCAUGUCGGCGAGGUUGCGGGUUCGAUUCCUGCACUGCA